rnacentral:rRNA from 1 species
AUUGAACGCUGGCGGCAUGCCUAACACAUGCAAGUCGAACGGAGGUAGGGGCAACUCUACUUCAGUGGCGGACGGGUGAGGGAUGCGUCGGAAUCUACCCUAUGGUGGGGGAUAACACAGGGAAACUUGUGCUAAUACCGCAUAAUGUCGAGAGACCAAAGCAGGGGACCGCAAGGCCUUGCGCGAUAGGAUGAGCCGACGCCCGAUUAGCUAGUUGGUAGGGUAAAGGCCUACCAAGGCGACGAUCGGUAGCUGGUCUGAGGAGGAUGAUCAGCCACACGUGGGACUGAGACACCGGCCCAGACUCCGUACGGGAGGCAGCA